rnacentral:rRNA from 1 species
UACGUAGGGUGCAAGCGUUGUCCGAAUUAUUGGGCGUAAAGAGCUUGUAGGCGGUUUGUCGCGUCUGCUGUGAAAUUUCGGGGCUCAACCCCGAACUUGCAGUGGGUACGGGCAGACUAGAGUGUGGUAGGGGAGACUGGAAUUCCUGGUGUAGCGGUGAAAUGCGCAGAUAUCAGGAGGAACACCGAUGGCGAAGGCAGGUCUCUGGGCCACUACUGACGCUGAGAAGCGAAAGCAUGGGGAGCGAACAGG